rfam:Myotis lucifugus cont2.34581, whole genome shotgun sequence.
GGCCUCCCUCUGUGGGGUGAUUGGUCACGGGGCCCCCAGAUCAAUUGCCUUGCAGAGGGAGGCC